AAAAAAUUAGUUUAACCAAAACAUUAGUAUGUCAAACUAAAAACAUCAAUCUUUUGAUAUUUUUUG
rnacentral:tRNA from 1 species